rnacentral:rRNA from 1 species
AAGGAAUAUUGGUCAAUGGGCGAAAGCCUGAACCAGCCAUCCCGCGUGCAGGAUGACUGCCCUAUGGGUUGUAAACUGCUUUAGACUGGGAAGAAACCCCUCAAUGCGUUGGGGGCUGACGGUAUCAGUAGAAUAAGCACCGGCUAACUCCGUGCCAGCAGCCGCGGUAAUACGGAGGGUGCAAGCGUUAUCCGGAAUCACUGGGUUUAAAGGGUGCGUAGGCGGCUUGAUAAGUCAGAGGUGAAAGCCCGCAGCUUAACUGCGGAACGGCCUUUGAUACUGUUGAGCUUGAAACAGGACGAGGUUGGCGGAAUGUGGCAUGUAGCGGUGAAAUGCAUAGAUAUGCCAUAGAACACCGAUUGCGAAGGCAGCUGGCUAGACCUGAUUUGACGCUGAGGCACGAAAGCGUGGGGAGCGAAC